AUUUGCCACGAUCGGUCGAGCCUGGCUAGCAGCCAUACGAAAGGGGCGACAACAAAGGGCCCAACUUUGCUGUGGGACUCUUUCCCAGGAGGAGGUUUGUUCUGAAUCAACCAAAGUUAUAGCCAAACAACACAAAAGACAGAAUCGUACCUGUGCUCCUCUGGAAUAAGAUCUGAAAAUGGUGCAGAAUCGUCCCUGACCAGAUGUGUCCCUGGAACAAUACAGACAGAAAAGGUUGAGACAUCAGGGUCACAGGUCAAACCUCUUCAUACAGACAUUUUUAAGACACGACAGACACCAGCAGCUGAUAUAGGACAGACAGCAGGAAAACAGGACUCUGCAAAGGAACUGAGUCCAGUUCUGAUGGACAUUCAGUCAGUCCAGCAGAAGGAGGAAGACCAGCCGACAGACACAUGAUGACUUGUUCAGGAUCUGUUUAGGAUCUGACUUGUUAUUCUUGACUCUGUAUUGUUUUAUGGGAGAUGUGCUUCAUAGAUAAAGUUUUAUGUUAUUGCGACUUUAGAGUUUUCACUGUGGGCCUCCUCUCUGUGCUGUAAAAAUGCACCACAUCAUAAUAAACCCCCUCCGAGUCCUCCA